rnacentral:miRNA from 1 species
UCACUGGGCAUAGUUUGUCGC